GAUGAACGCUGGCGGAGUGCCUAACACAUGCAAGUCGAGCGGCAGCGCGAGUAGUUUACUACUUGGCGGCGAGCGGCGGACGGUUGAGUAACGCGUGGGAACAUGCCCAAAGUGAGGAAUAACUGCCCGAAAGGGUAGCUAAUGCCGCAUACGAUCUUCGGAUUAAAGGAUUUAUCCGCUUUGGGAGUGGCCUGCGUACGAUUAGAUAGUUGGUGAGGUAAUGGCUCACCAAGUCUACGAUCGUUAACUGGUUUGAGAGGAUGAUCAGUCAGACUGGAACUGAGACACGGUCCAGACUCCUACGGAGGCAGCAGUGAGGAAUCUUCCACAAUGGACGAAAGUCUGAUGGAGCAACUCCGCGUGCAGGAUGAAGGCCUUCGGGUCGUAAACUGCUUUAUGAGUGAAGAAUAUGACGGUAACUCAUGAAUAAGGGUCGGCUAACUACGUGCCAGCAGCCGCGGUAAU
rnacentral:rRNA from 1 species